GCUUCUGAAUCUGUUUUCAGCACCAGUGGUAGAGUUGUAGAUAAAUUUCGUUCUUCAAUGCUUCCAGAAACAAUUGAAGCUCUGAUAUGCACACAAGAUUGGAUAAGAAGUGCGCUGAAGAAUGAGGGAUAUGGGUUAGGUAGUACUUCACUUCAGACUCUUUUGGAGGCAAUGGAGGAGCUCGAGUCAGACGAUGAUGAUGCAACAUCGCACAUUGUCUAACUGACUGACUAUCAAUUUAAGGAACAAUUGGAAAUAUGAUGGUUGGAACUUCUUUUUGGUAUAUAUAUAUUAUAUAGGCAUAGCCAAAGAACAUGCGAAGUGCGCGAACUACAUCCUUCUUUUUUGUAUAUGUACUUGUGAAGGAAAAACGCAUUUAUCUUUUGGGGCUUCUACAGUUUAUAGAAUGAUAUGUCUGUCAACUUUUGUGGUUAUAAUACGACAGACUAUAGCCAUUAAGGCAGGUACUGAAUCUACUGAUGGAGCAGUUAUCGGCUAAAAACAUG